GCUGUGCAGCGUAAAUGCGGCCUUGGCCGGGCGGGUUUUGUUCCGCAUUGGCUACGGUUCACCUGAGCGCGCCUCUCCCGGAAAUGGGCGUCCCGAGCAGGGCGCACCUGGCGCGCAUCUUCUCUGGGCUUCUCGCCGUCGGCCGCGGCGAGCCCGCGGGGGUCUAGGGAGUCAGCGCGCGGCGUCUGGGAACGACCCCUUCCGUGGGUCCCGGGCACCCCAGCAGCAUCCGAGCGCGGAGGGGAGGGUAGCGGACCGCAGAAAACAAACUGAGCAGCUAAAAGCUGAUCUGUGCUGUGGACUUGAAACUGAUGUGCAAGGUGAGAGCUCCCACUGGACACUGGCUCAGAAGCUUCCUCACAGGUGAUGACCACACCCGUGCUUCCUGCCCAACCUCUCCAGGCCUCCCUGGUGGGCACAGCUGGACCCACGCUCCACGGGCUCGCUGACCCAGAGCCUGAAGGACCGAUACUGGAGUUGCCAGGCUGUCACCUGCUAAGGAAGAGGAUGUAUCGCCCACACCUGCCAUUGGAAGUUCUCCCCAGGCAGAGGUCACACGAGGGAGAGGCCACUCUGCAGAGUUUGUGUCCCAGCUGGGGAACCCUUCUCUGCUCUCUUUGAUCAGCCAGCAGCAGUGCCAGCCCCAUCCUAAGAUGCUCUUACAAAAUGAAGAUUUUCAAGAAGACUCAUAAAAAGAACUUUUUAAACAAACAUACGUUUCUGAUGGCCUUUAGAGGAUACCACUGAACUAUGUAAUAAAUGACGGAAAACCUGAUUACUUCAUCCAAAUCAACAGGAAUCAAUUACAUGGGAUUAAAUGAACUGAUGAAUAGGAUUUAUAACUUUAUGACUUUGGGAAAUAUACUAGCCUACUGAAUUCUUAGGUCUCUAUGACAAAGAAGAAAAAAACAAACAAACAAAAAACAAAAACAGUGCUACAAAACCAUGUGGCCCUUGGCAUCCUUACGUCUCAGGGACGUACCUGUGCUAAGAUUCAAACUGAAUGCUGUGUUUUUAUACCUGAUGAAUCCUCUACUAUAACAUGUUUAAUUAACCAGAUGAAAAAUCAGAUUUCUGCCUUAAGUGACCCACUCCCAAAACCUUGACAAGCUCUUAAAAAACUAGUUUGGCAUAAAAAGCUCUUGGCUUAAAUAUUUACUUAUAACUCUAUUAAUGUCAUUAACUAUAUUAUUUGUAUUUUGCCUGUUUUACAAGAUUAUUGUUUUUGUAUUACUAAUUGUGUGCCUGAGCCUCUAACAAAAAAUAAUGACAACUAGGCAACUUGAAACAGCUGAUCAAAUAUAUAGUUCUGUAUGCAAUCAAUGAUUGUGAUAGUGCAACUCUAUAUAUGGGAAGAUGCAACAAGGGAAAACAUUUCCUGGAUCAUAAUAGAUUAGUAAGACAGAGGAUCCAAAGACUCUUUAAUCUAAUGAUUAAACAGGGCCUAAUCCAAAAAUUAAUACCUGGAGUGGCGUAUCAACAAGAAAAUUUGCCUGAUCUGGGAUGAACCUCCCAGCACCAUGGGACAAUAUUUGGUCAUGAAAUGUCUCCCAAACAUUGGCCAAAUUUCCAACCAAGAGGAGGGACUGAUAAAUGGAAUAUUUAUAAAUGGAAUAUUUCCUGCCAUAUCAAUAAACAAAGGAUGUCACAGUCAUCAACGAUUGUAGCCCUUCAACAUAAGCAGAGAACUCAGGGCUGAAAAGAAUGCCUGCCAUCUCGCAGCCAUCAGACGGCAAGCUGCUCCCAGUGGUGAGCUCUAAGGAAACUCAGGAAGUGAAAACACAGGCUCCAGAUAGCUAAGGUGCAUAUCAAAGGAAUGAUUUCAGUGAGCCCAAAGCUUAUCUUCCUAUUCAUAGAGAAGCACUAAAUUCCUUAACAUGAGAUCUGGUUUUGUUUAAUUAAUGGUAAGUUUUUGAUGUUCCUGACUACCUGUCCUUUGUUGCAAAACUCCUAUAUACCCUGGCUCCUCCCCUCACCUCCUUGGAGCAGUUUCUCAGAGCUAUCUGAAAUGCUGUCUUCUGGGCUGCAGUCCUCAUUUUGUCCCAAAUAAAACUUAA